rnacentral:rRNA from 1 species
GAGGGAAAGGCGAAAAGAACCCCGGCGAGGGGAGUGAAACAGAACCUGAAACCGUGUACGUACAAGCAGUGGGAGCCCCACCACUAAGCCAGUGGUGAACUCCACAUACGCAUCCUUUGCGGAAGAUACGGUUAACGGAGCGAAAGCGACGUUCAACCGCAAAAGAAGCAGAGGGGGCUUAGUGGUGGGGUGACUGCGUACCUUUUGUAUAAUGGGUCAGCGACUUAUAUUCUGUAGCAAGGUUAACCGAAUAGGGGAGCCGGAGGGAAACCGAGUCUUAACCGGGCGUUAAGUUGCAGGGUAUAGACCCGAAACC